AAUCAUUCAGGUUUCAACGCCACCAUAUGUUCUCUCUCUCUCUCUCUCCCUCCCUCUCCCUCCCUCCACAACUCUAUAGUUCCUCUUUUUUCUGCAGAUCUUCUCUGCAUGGAUUGUUAUCUUCGUCUGAUUCUUCCGGAUUCGUGUAGAUCGGCUUCGGAUCUACCCGUUGAUGGUGGUUUUGGGUUGUGAAGAUGGUUUGAGAUGCUUUUGGAGUUUUGCUGGUUUGACCAGCUUGUGCUUGUGUUCUUUGAUUCAGAUUUUAAAGAUGCAUAUACCGAUCUCUUACACCGAUGGAGGUUCGAAGCCUUGAAAUUUCCGAGAUCAAUUGGAUCGACAUCGUUUCAACAUCUGCAGAUCUGAUUUCUCCUUGCGGCUGAAGGGCGCAAACUCAUGUAUAUUGGUUAAUCGAAAGCUAUAACUGUAAUAUGAUGAUUGGGGAAGGUGAAAGCUGGGGUAUUUUUGGGUGGAUUUGGGUUUGCACGGAUGUAAGAGAUGUCGGGACGAAAGGCUCGGUGGAAGAGAUGAGUCCUGGACCGAUCUUUGUCAUCCGGCCUUUGCCAUGGCAGGUGCGCUUGCAUGGCAGGUCAAAAAAUCUGAAUAAAAAAACAAAGAGUUCUGGUUUUAAGGGGAGACAGCAUGGGGUGUUUUUUGGCCCAGGGUCUCCCCUCCGGUGUGUGGUGUGUGCUCUGUGUGUGUCCCUUCCUUUUGUGCUGUGUUUUAUUUUUAGCUCUACUGCCUGCGCAUUCGAACACGGAUUCAGCACAUCAACGACGGCAUAUCUCACCGCCAAAGGUAUUAUCUGACUGCCUAUUUCCAUUGAUAUGCAUCUGUUACUAUAUUAACCCCAGUUAAACGGAAAACCCCUAAUUAUUAUGCACCAUUAGUUCGCCUCAUGCUCAAUUUACUUCAAAUUAAUGUGGGUUUAAUCGUAUUUGUAGUCCAAUUAUCUAAUAUGGGCUUAAUAUUAUAGAUUGAUAUAAUCCAAUGUAACUGGGUACAUGAGGAUUGGUAGACAUGCAUAAUAAUGUUUUUUUGUCAGUUCUCUGAAUUAUGAUAUUCAAACUGUUUCACUUGAUUCCUAGGUAAAAGGGAGUUUAAGAAACCCUAACUGUCUAUAGGAAAAUGCCUGGAAGACCGACUAUUUAGACUAAAGUUCAUAAAUCAUAUGAUGGGUAGUUGAUGAUUGGAUUAUUACUGGAGUUCUUAUUUCUGAUGUUUUGGUUUUUUUUUUUGAACGAACGAUAUUAUUGGGUUGGUGAAUGAUUCAAGCCUCAGUGCGGUUCAAGUUUGCUUUAUGCGAAAACUGAACUUAAAGACCUCUCAAUUACAAUUACAAGUGAAGAAUUAUUAUGAAUUUAGUCUAAAAAAUUGGUCCACUUUGCAUUACUCCUAUAUAUAGUUACAAUGUUAUCCUCGAAUUACUCUCUCUACUUAACAGAUAUCUUUCCAAAUUAUCCUGGAUUGUGUUAAGUAUGUGUUGACUUUGCCUCAAGGCAUCUGUUAUGGGAUUCGAUACACUUGCAUCAAUCAUCAAUUGUACCCCAUUAAUAUGCCAUGUAGUCGAUCUUAUCCGCUUACGAAACUCCUGUCCUUGUGCACGCAUUCAAUAUAAAUUACGUUGUUUUUGGAAUUCACAUUUGCAAUAUGCUUACAAUCCUUUCCAAAUCUGCCUCGUGCCUUAGUUACGACAUUAUGUGGAAUGAGCUGAAAAUUUUAUUACCAGUCUUAACUUGGAAUUGAAGUUUUGUGUUGUAUACUGAAUUUUUUUAUGGGUAUUGAUUACAAUUCAAGUUAAAUACAUGUUCUUGGAGCUGAUAUUAUUUGGAGACUUUGUAAUACUCUGUAAUUUUGUUUGCCUUUGGCUGCUUUUGCUUCAAUAUUUGGAGAUUGUAUUACCAUUAGAUGGCACCAAGGAUUUUGGCAACCGGGCUAACCGGUGCUCUCUCAUCUGCCAAGUCUGAAGCCCGAAUGGUUCUCUUCAAUUGCAAGAUAAUCGAAUUAUAUGCUGUUCGUUUGUGGGAAUUUUGAGGUGAACCAACGAAACGAGUUUAGCUUUCUUUUGCCAUUUUUAACAGAGCAUACGUAGAGUUAAUGUUUUUAAUUUUCAAGUUACGGUAUGACCUCAUUAUGCGAUGUGGGUGUCCUAGUGUUAUAUUACGACUAUAAUUUUUUAAUUAUCUUAUUGCCGUUAUAGUACAUUCAAGCAUUUUUGUUAUUGACAACUGUUGUGUAA